GACGAACGCUGGCGGCGUGCCUAACACAUGCAAGUCGAACGAAGUUUUUAUGGAAUGCGACUUCGGUCAAAUGAAGUUUAAACUUAGUGGCGGACGGGUGAGUAACGCGUGAGCAACCUGCCUUUCAGAGGGGGACAACAGAGGGAAACUUCUGCUAAUACCGCAUAACGUGUUUUGAGGGCAUCCUCGAAACACCAAAGAUUUAUCGCUGAAAGAUGGGCUCGCGUCUGAUUAGCUAGUUGGUGAGGUAACGGCUCACCAAGGCGACGAUCAGUAGCCGGACUGAGAGGUUGAUCGGCCACAUUGGGACUGAGAUACGGCCCAGACUCCUACGGGAGGCAGCAGUGGGGAAUAUUGGGGCAAUGGGGGGAAACCCUGACCCAGCAACGCCGCGUGAAGGAAGAAGGCCU
rnacentral:rRNA from 1 species